AAACUAACAAGGAUUCCCCUAGUAACUGCGAGUGAAGCGGGAAGAGCUCAAAUUUAAAAUCUGGUAGCUUCGUUACCCGAGUUGUAAUCUGGAGAAGCAUUUUCCGCGUUGGACCGUGUACAAGUUUCUUGGAACAGAAUAUCAUAGAGGGUGAGAAUCCCGUCCAUGACACGGACUACCAAUGCUUUGUGAUAUGCUCUCGAAGAGUCGAGUUGUUUGGGAAUGCAGCUCAAAAUGGGUGGUAAGUUCCAUCUAAAGCUAAAUAUUGGCGAGAGACCGAUAGCGAACAAGUACCGUGAGGGAAAGAUGAAAAGCACUUUGGAAAGAGAGUUAAACAGUACGUGAAAUUGUUGAAAGGGAAACGCUUGAAGUCAGUCGCGUUGAUGAAGACUCAGCCUUGCUAUUGCGUGGUGUAUUUCUUUGUUAACGGGUCAACAUCAAUUUUGGUUGGUGGAUAAAGGUUGGAGGAAUGUGGCAUCCUUGGAUGUGUUAUAGCCUUCUUCCGUAUACACUGGCUGGGAUUGAGGUCUGCAGCACGCCUUUUUGGCCGGGGUUCGCCCACGUAUCGUGCUUAGGAUGUUGGCAUAAUGGCUUUAAGCGACCCGUCU
rnacentral:rRNA from 1 species